UACGUAGGGCGCAAGCGUUGUCCGGAAUUAUUGGGCGUAAAGAGCUCGUAGGCGGUCUGUCGCGUCGGAUGUGAAAAUCCAGGGCUCAACCCUGGACCUGCAUUCGAUACGGGCAGACUAGAGUUCGGCAGGGGAGACUGGAAUUCCUGGUGUAGCGGUGAAAUGCGUAGAUAUCGAGAGGAACACCUGCGGCGAAGGCGGGUUGCUGGGCUGACACUGACGCUGAGGCGCGAAAGCUAGGGGAGCAAACGGG
rnacentral:rRNA from 1 species